rnacentral:rRNA from 1 species
CACCUACGGGGGGCAGCAGUCGAGAAUCCUUCACAAUGUUUUCAACCCUGAUGGUGCGACGCCGCGUGGGUGAAGAAGCGCCUCGGCGCGUAAAGCCCUGUCAGCAGGGAAGAAAAUGACGGUACCUGAAGAAGAAGCCCCGGCUAACUACGUGCCAGCAGCCGCGGUAAUACGUAGGGGGCAAGCGUUAUCCGGAUUUACUGGGUGUAAAGGGGGCGCAGACGGCGAUGCAAGCCAGGAGUGAAAGCCCGGGGCCCAACCCCGGGACUGCUCUUGGAACUGCGUGGCUAGAGUGCAGGAGGGGC